AUAAGUAGGAAGUUAAAGGUAAGGAGUUAGACCCUCAAGGAAAAAAACCACAAUGGGAAAAAUCUUGAGAGAAGAACUCCUAGAUAUUUUUUAUGUCAUUUCUUGCUCUUGAAGUUCCCCCUACAAGAAAUAAAUAUAAAGUGUUGUGCAAACAAAAAGGCUUCUUACUAGAGUUCUCUUGAACUUGUAGGAUUAUUUAGGACUUUCAUACCUUUCUUCUUUUUCUUCUUCGGUUUCUUUGUUUCUUUCUCGGGAGGGAGAAACAAAUCAGUAAUCCUUGCUUCACUUGGUUUGCCUUUUGCUUUUUUGAUCACAUCAUCAUCAUCAUUCACAUCAGUACUACUCCCACUAUCACUGGAGCUGUUUGAACAGGGAUCAUGUCCCAUUUCUUUCCCCACAUGCCAGCCAGUUGCUUGCUUUGCCAUCCACAAUUCAUUUUUCACCUAAAAAUUUUAGCUUACAAUUACUUUUUGAUGAGCAUGAACAAAAGAAGAACUGCACCUCCAAGUAGUACUGCUUGAGAUAAAAGAUGUAGAAAAGCUAGGUAUCCACUCCAAGAUGCAAAGGCAUCAUAAUUUUCAAAGCCCAGCUUUGCUUAUCCUAUGUUCUUAGUGCGAGAAGAUUUGAGAGUACCCUUUGACCACCACUCUGCAUUCUUUCCAUUAUUAGAG
rnacentral:lncRNA from 1 species